rnacentral:rRNA from 1 species
CCCUUAGAAGUUCUGGGCUACACGCGUGUUACACUGAUAUGUUCAACAAGUUAAAAUAUUCCUUGCCCGACGGGGCUGGGUAAUCUUUUAAAAGCAUGUCGUGAUGGGGAUAGAGCAUUGUAAUUAUUGCUCUUGAACGAGGAAUUCCUAGUAAGUGCAAGUCAUUAACUUGCGCUGAUUACGUCCCUGCCCUUUGUACACACCGCCCGUCGCACCUACCGAUUGAAUGACUCGGUGAAAAAUUGGGACUGUGAUUGAAAUUGCUUCAUUGCGAAUUUAAUUAUGGAAACUUUCUUUAACCUAGGCAUUUAGAGGAAGGUGAAGUCGUAACA